ensembl:lncRNA
CUUUAAGUAAUCCAGUUCACAAAUUAGGUCAGAGGUCUUUGGAAGAUAUAAAAUUAAGAAUGCUUCUGCAUCAAUGUGAGUGAAUCAAUCAUCCUUAAAGGUGUACAGCUCUUUGAGGGAAAACCAUUCUCAGAAUUGGCAAUUUAACAUUGGCAUUAAUUGGUCUUCUUUCUGUGAGGCACAGUGCUUUAACAGACUUAUCUAGGAACUAAAGUAAUCUGCCCCCAGCCCUGUAUCUAUCUGGAAAUGAGAAGCUUCUUUCAAAAAAAUUGCUUGCCUUUUCUCUAGCAACACAAAUCUCCUCUUAUCUGUAUCCAUGAAAAUAUGCCAGUUAAUUCACAAAAGAGAAAGAAAAUAUACUUUCUUGAGAGAGCAUCAAUAUUAGAGAAACACAUUCAAGGGAUGAUUUAGGCUAUUUUUCUGAAUAAUUUAAUCAUCUGGCCAUAUGAGGCCUGUUUCAAAAUAAUAACCUCUUCACAAAUAAAGAGGUCCUGAAAUAAUCUAUGUGUAUCAUUCAUUCCACUCAAUUCUAUAAUUUUGUGGAUUUUGUGUAUAGUUCUAUGAUGAGGAAUCUGAUAAAUAAUACAAUGCUAGCAUGUUAGAGCUGGAAGAGACAUUAGAACUUAGAAUUUCAGAGCAUAGAAUGUUAGGGCGCUAGGGAUCUUCAAAUAGAAUGUUGGAGCUGAGGGAAAUCUUACACUUAGACUGCCAUAGCUGGAAUGGACCUUCAAAUAUAUAUUGUUGGAAUUGAAAAAGUUUCUUAAACAGUGUACUACUGUUAGUGCCAAAUGGGACUUAGAAAAUAAGACUUUAAGAUGGAGAUCAUAGAUAGAAUUAGAAGGAACUUUGAAAGAUACAAUGUGAAAACUGGAAGGGAUCUUAGAGAUGAGGUGGUACAGAAGAAAAAAAGUUUGGUUCUGAAAUCAGAGAGUAUGGGUUUCAAUUUCAUUUCUGAAACCUACUUUCUGACCUCAGAACACAGGAGGAAAAGCCCUAAUGCACCAUGAACGUUGAAUUGAUUUUGCACUGAUGUGUACUUCCAGUAUGAUGAUUGGUAUUUGUAAAAUAUAGAGUCUGUCCCCAAAUUGCUUACCUCAGUCACCUUCACAGAUCCUGGAAGUCAAAACCAGGGAAAAUGCUGAGAAGCCUAGGAAAAAGGGAAACAAAAGAAAGCAAAACAUAACAAUGACAAGAAUUACUCUGACAUCCACAGGAGGUGAGCAUUUUGCUCUCCUACACUCGGGAAAAAUGUUAUCUCAAUACAAAUAACAUAAUGCAGAGAAAGAACAUAUAUACAACAGAGAAAAUAAUGCCUCUUUCUACUGAUCCUUCAAUUACCUGGAGUGAGUCUCCAUUCUUGGGGAGUUAUCAUCAGGAAGCAUGGGAACAGUUCUAGCAAGCCAUUAUGCUGGUAAGUCAUUCAAUCUCCCCCAUUUCAAUUUUCCUGAAUGUAAAGGGCAUCUACUAGCUUGACAAGUUGCCUAUUUGUCUCAAUCAAAGACUUGUCUUUGAGAUUGAAAACAUUACAUGUAUACACUUGUAUUAUUUGUCUCUUAAAACAGCUACAGCAUGUUUUUAACCAAUGAGGACCAUUGCUCAUGGAGGGGAUAUGCCUCCCUGUAGUCCAGUGAAGUGAUUAACAGGCUUAGUUUUGUAGUUUAAAAAUGCACUAUGAAACUCCUCAUCACUGUCCUCUGCCAAAGUAAAUACUGACUUUUUAGAAACUUCACAGGUAAAAUGAUCACACACAUAUAUCCAUGCACACAAAUAUACCCUUAAGCUGAACCCAAAAGGAAAAGCCUUUUUUUAAUGUAAUGCCCACAAUAUUUGUCUAUGAGACUAUUAUUUUUCAAUGAAAUAGGAAAUUAAUAAUGAUUGAUAAACAGCUAUUAUCCUGUAUGAAAGGAUUAAUAGUGCAACUAAUUUUAGCAG